rnacentral:ribozyme from 12 species
GGACAUAUCUUCAUGAAUGCCCUGGUUUUUUUUUUUUUUUUUUUUUUUUUUUUUU